rnacentral:rRNA from 1 species
UACAGAGGGUGCAAGCGUUGUUCGGAAUUAUUGGGCGUAAAGCGCGUGUAGGCGGCUUUGCAAGUCGGGUGUGAAAGCCCUCAGCUCAACUGAGGAAGUGCGCCCGAAACUGCAGAGCUUGAGUGCCGGAGAGGGUGGCGGAAUUCCCCAAGUAGAGGUGAAAUUCGUAGAUAUGGGGGAGGAACACCGGUGGCGAAGGCGGCCACCUGGACGGUAACUGGACGCUGAGACGCGAAAGCGUGGGGAGGCAAACAGG